ACCUUGGUGGUGUAGUGGUUAGCAUGGUGGACUUUGAAUCUAGAGGUUCGUGGUUCAAGUCCAAGUCAGGUCA
rnacentral:tRNA from 1 species